UCCAUGUUUCCUUCCCCCUUCU
rnacentral:miRNA from 1 species